UACAUGCUGUGUAUCUUUCAUCAAGAGAGAAGCUAAUGUACACUCUUCCAAAUUUUUUGGAAAACAGAAAGGGCAGAAGAGGGGAUUAGAGUCUGCACUUUUAGCAAGAACAUGUGGCUCUUUAUUAUUGUAGCUUCACAAAGGAGUAUCCUGCACAUAGUGAAGAUAUGAGCACUAUCACUAGAAAUAAUUUCUGGUGUCUUUAUAGGAACUUAGAUGAAACCCAAACCUGUUCAGAAAAUAUACAUAUAUACAUGCUUCUGAUAUCACAUACCUGUUUUCUCGAAGUCUUUUCCUUGAUGUAAUUAGGAACCAGAGAAGAAGUGACUCAGAGAUGAAAAUAAGUAUUUGGUAGGCGUUUGGACUCUCUAAAUAUGUUUUCAUAAAUACAAGUUGGGGAUAAGGGGGCAUGCCAACAGUAUAUGUAAAUAUGGAAUAGGAUCUAUGGCCCAAUUUCUCUUUUUCUAGCUUUUUUACAAUGUAACCAAAAUCAGGGAUGUUUGAGUGAAGAGGGAGCUGGUUAUAGAUGUAGAAAAUUAUAGCAAUGAGGGCAGAAGUGAUGCGCAGCAGCUUCACAGAACCUUGAGAACACUGGAAAUCAAGGUCUUUAGCCUAAUUAGCAAAUCAGUUAUUGUAUCACUGUGAGUUUAUAAGGAUAUAGUAUUGUGAAGAACAAAUAUACUCCUUUCCAAGUUCAGUGUAUCAUGUCAUCUUUCCCUGCCUGAAGUAGCUAAUAUCAAAACCUUUCUGUUAACCAGGAAGACCUGAAAGAGAAAGUGAAAACGUGACAAAAAUACUUUUCUAUUGAUAAUAACUUUAAACUGAAUUACAUUCAAGUUAGCAAGCACUUUCCUGAAAUGAAGAGAGAUGCCAAUCAAUUAAAGAUAGGGACACUUUUUAAAAGAAAAUGUUUCCCAAGUGUUGUAGAUAGUGCCUGCCCUGCUUGGACACUUUUUACUUGAACUUUUCAAUUAUACACUUUGAACAGAGUGCAAUAAAACCAAGGCUUAUUUGAGGCAUUUUAAAAAUAAAAUGACUUCCUCACUAUAUAGCUUCCCCUUACCACUAUCACCAUACUGUCACACACACAUACACACACACACGUAUGCACAAACACUAUUUUUAAAUAGUAUUUUACUCUCAGAUUCCUAGUGCCUUACCUCAACUUCCAUUUGUUUUCAGCCCCCUUUGGGAUUGUAUGCUUUACUUGUUUGGUGCAUUCCAUUUUGGAGAGCUACCUGGGGUGGUUGAAAAUAUGUAUUUUAGUGUGUGACAAGACAAGCACCUGCUUCAAUAUUUACCAGCUGUGUUAUUUCCCUGUUGCUACUAUAACAAAUCACCACGAACGUGGUGGAUUGAAACAACACAGAUUUUGAUCCACAUUUAUUAAGGUCAGACCCCAAAAUGUAUUCUAUUGAGCAACCAUGGAAGUGUCAACAGGGCUGCAUUUUUUUCUGGAUACUCUAGGGAAGAAUCUGUUCUGUGUCUUCUUCCACUUCUCAAAGCCACCUGCAUUCCUUGGCUCAUGUCCCUGCCUCCAUCCUCAAAGCCAGUAACGUAGCAUCUUCACACUGCUCUCUGACUCUCCUCCCUCCCUUUAAGUAUACCUUUGAUUAAACUGGGUCUGCCCAGAUAAUCCAGAGUAGCAUCACCAUCUCAGAAUCCUUAAUCACAUCUCCAAAGUACCUUCUGACAUAUAAGGUAAUGUACCCCCAGAUUCUGGAGAUUAGGACGUGGACAUCUUUGGGGGGAAGGAGAGAUCAUUAUUAUGCCUAUCAUACCAACCACCUGUCACUGGACAAGUUACUUAUUCCUUAAGUCUGUUUCCUCCUGCUUCCUCCUCUGCCAAUUUAAGAUAAUAUCUAUCUCUUUAGGUUCAUGUCUUGAUUGGAAGAGAUUAAAAGAAAUACUUUUAAUUUGCCUUUUCCAAAUACUCUUCUAAGAAAGCAACUUUGGAAUCUAAAUUUAUUUUGAAAGUUUCUUCAUACCAAUAAAAACAAUUAAAAGCCACUGAAUGUUUGGGAUUUUACUUUCUCUUCAUAGUAUGACACCUUUCAAAUGAAUUGUAUGCAUAUCAAAGAUUCACAAAAGUGGCUCUUCUUAUUCUAAAUGAUGCCUGUGAGAUAGUUCUAAUCAGUAAGACAGUCAUAUGGAGUAGAGUUAUAGCAUAAACACAUGUAAACAGUGUAGCCCAGAGGAGGAACAAACCUUAGGUUUAGACUAAGACAAUCCCAAGAGCACUGCCAUGUGCUGAGUGUGCAAUGUCAUGUCUCCAGAAUCUAGCCAAUUGACUAAUCAGCCUGACUGAGAAUAAGACAAAACUCAAGACUCCUUGGAAAUGAGGGGAUACAAAGACAAGACUGAGGGAAGUCUCAUAAUGUCUAAAUAAGAUGAGGAAAAAACUGUAUAGGAAUGUCCAACAAGACUUUCUGAGCUUGUUUCCAUAGAUGAACUUAUGAAGUCUAUACCCAUCCUCUUCCUAAACAUUCACUGUACUAAAUUUAAAAUACACAGAGACGAGAACAGAUAGGGACAAGCAAAACAGUGAUUUAUUAGCCACAAAGCAAGUUUCAAUCAAAGGUGAAAGUUCACCAAUCCAAUUAUUUAUCAAAGGAUUCUCAAAGGAGAAAUAAUUUCUUAGGGAGAAAUAUAAACUUACCAUUGGUGGCUCAAUGAAAAAUAAUUGGAGCUCAGAUCCAACUCAAGAUAUACCCCGCCCUUCUAGUCAAGGGAGGCUCCAGGUUCUUGCGCUGUGGCAUUGAGAGGCGUCUCAGUUGGAUCCUGGUGAACUUCAAGAUAGGUGAAAUUUCCAAAAUAACUAGUUUUAAUAAAGUAAAACUGAGGUUACUUAAACACACUUCAGUAAGGGAGAGAGAAUACCAUUCUGACAGAGUUUUGGUGUAACCACAGGGGAGUUCAGAAGUGAGAUGUUUACAGGGUUUGGAUACUGGCUUCAAUUGGUUUUAAGCUGGAUUUUCAAAGAAGGAAACUGGUUGGGAUUAGAUAAAGUUCAAGACAUAGGUGCUUGAAAAGUAAAUUUCGUUGGAAAUGCAACCUGUUUGAACAGAUGAGCAGACAACAGUUGUCUCAGACAAACUGAUUUAUAAGAAUUUCCUGAAGCAAAUAGUGAGGUUAUUUAUCGACUUAUAGUCUUAUCUUUUCUGGGCUGAAACAGACAACUAAGUCAUACCGACACAGAUGUUUUCAGUUCUUAAUCCUAACAGUUAUGUCAUUUUGAUACAGGUGGUCACAGUUCUCAGUCACGGCCACCCAGCAAAAGACACGUUUUCUUGCUCCCAACCCCCACCUGCAGGUAUAUGGGACCAUAUAUCUUAAUUUUGGACUAUGGGAUAAGGGUGGAAGUGAUAAAUGUAACUUUAGAGUUAUAUCCUUAAGAAAAUAAAAUGCACACCCUCUUUUUUCCCUGUCUCCCUUUCCACUACUUGGCAAGGGAUGGAAGGCUCCAAAGCAGUUGCCAUAAACCAUAGGAGGACAAUGUAAUGUUGAAGAUAACAGAAGAACAAAAUAAUAGAACCUUAGGUUCUCUUCAUUCCCUAUCAUCUCAGUCCUAAACUACAUAUAUUCAGACCAGUGACAAAGAAAUUGUUCUAUCUCAUUUCAGCCACAGUUAUUUUUGGAUGCUUUUUCAACAGUCCAACCAGUAUCCUAACUUAAAGCUGCUUUUCAAAAUUAGUAGUCUAGAAUACCUCUCCAUUUACUAGAUUUGUUUUCCUCUUCACUUAAAAACCACAUCCAAUUCUUCAGCGCAUCAGCAACCCUUCAAACCUCAUCUCCAAACCUCCUAUUUCUCUCUCUAUCUCCAUGCGCACCACUCUAAUCCCAGCCACCAGGUACUCCUGCCUAGAGUGCUGCAGUAGCCUCCCAUUCAUAACUCUGCCUUCGUACUUGACCCCUCUACAAACCAUACUCUAUCUAAGAAUGGUCACCUUAAAACAUGAAACAAGUCAUGCCAUUGCCCUGUGUAACCUUCUCCUUUACACCCCAAAUAAAAUCCAAACUCUCUUCCAUGGCAUGUAAACCACAAUAUGAUCCAACACUUCCCUACCUCCCCAGUGUCAACUCUUUUUGCUCUAUUCUUCACUCACUCCAGCCACACUAGCCUUCUCUGAAUUCCUUGAUCAUCCAAAGGCCCUUCUUCUUCCACUGACCCUCUGUGCUUUAUCUUUCUUCUACCUAGGUCGUGCCUUCCUCGGAUAUGUAUUAUGUCUGACCUCUUAUCAUUCAGGUAUCAUUUCAAAUGUUGUUUUACCUCUAGGCCUUCCCUGACCACCUAAUCUACUCUUACUUUCCCUUCCCCUUUCUUUAAUUCUCUCACACAUUACCUGUAUUGUUUUCUUCCUAGCACAACACUUUUUUUUUCAGACAUGCACACAGCAUACAAAGUUCCUGGGCCAAGGAUUGAACCCAAGCCACAGCAAUGACAAUGCUGGAUACUUAAAUGCUAAGCUACCAGGGAACUCUAGCACAGCACUUUCUGAAAUAAUCUUAUUUUUUCAUUUGUUUAUUUCUUAUUUAUUGUCUGUCUUUUCUAAUAUUAAGCUCCAUGAAAGCAGGGACAUGUCUGUCUUGCUAAUCAUUACAAUCUCAAUGCCCAGAAGAGCACCUGGGACACAACACACACUUUGAAAUAUGCACUGAAGGAAUAAAUGAGAUAGAAGCAUGUUUGCUAACUGCUUUCUAAAGUGUCUAGAACAUAACCAAAGAUAACUAAAUCAUAGGACAUAUGUUCUUGCUGAACUGUGGAUGACUUGCAUUCUCCCGUGACUCUUAGCUCUACGGUACUGGUUCAGAAUUGCCCAGGUCCUGAGAGGAUAAAGCCCUCUAUACCCCAUGAACCUGAGCUCCUGUGAACUCCAUCAGCUUCCUUCUUUUCUCUCAGCCACACCCAAGCCACAAGGGACAGACUUGAUACUCACUGAUUUGAGAGUUAUAAAUGUGGCACAAAAUACUUGAUUACAUUUCAUGUAUUAACAAUUACCACAAAUACCUAAACCAACAACUUCAUAGCCCUAUCUAAUUUGAAUCUUGCUUCCUGGUUUAUAACAAAAUUUGUGUGUGGUACACAUUACUGCCUCUAAACAGCUUUUGGAGUCACAAAGCAAAAAAAAAAAAAA
rnacentral:lncRNA from 1 species